CCAGCAGUGCCACACCUGCUGUGUCCCCUGAGACCUUUUUCCUAACAUGAAGUUCCUCUGCUGUCACCUCUCCAAGUUUGCUGUCUUGCUUCCAGAAAAUGCCAGCCAGAACAACCACUGCACUCAGUGUCCAGAUACCAAGCUAUCAGAAACAUGCAGCUACAGCUGAGCAGCUGCGACCAUCUCCGUCCUUUCAGGAUCGGUCGCCAUCUUGACCCUGGAGAGACUCAGAACAAACCUCUCUGAAAUUUCAAAGACCCAGAGCUCACAUCUUUUGACUACAAGAAAAUGGAGAAAAGAAAAAAGGCAUGAAAGGUACUGUGAGCCUACCCUUGUCCUUGUCCCGCAUGGC
rnacentral:lncRNA from 1 species